rnacentral:rRNA from 1 species
CGGUGGAGAGAUCACUAGUGAGAAUGAUGACAUGAGUAGCGACAAAGAGUGUGAGAGACACUCUCGCCGAAAGUCCAAGGGUUCCUGCUUAAAGCUAAUCUGAGCAGGGUAAGCCGACCCCUAAGUCGAGGCCGAAGGGCGUAGACGAUGGGAACCAGGUUAAUAUUCCUGGGCCAGGAGAUGGUGACGGAUUGUGAAGGUUGUUCCUCCUUAUUGGAUUGGAGGGGCCGCUGAUCAGUCCCUGGAAAUAGCCCUCCAUAAGAUCGUACCCUAAACCGACACAGGUGGACUGGUAGAGAAUACCAAGGCGCUUGAGAGAACUACAUUGAAGGAACUCGGCAAAAUACCUCCGUAAGUUCGCGAGAAGGAGGCCCAGUUUCUACGCAAGUAUUGGCUGGGGGCACAAACCAGGGGGUGGCGACUGUUUACUAAAAACACAGGGCUCUGCGAAGUCGCAAGACGACGUAUAGGGUCUGACGCCUGCCCGGUGCCUGAAGGUUAAAAGGAGGGGUGAGAGCUCCGAAUUGAAGCCCAGGUAAACGGCGGCCGUAACUAUAACGGUCCUAAGGUAGCGAAAUUCCUUGUCGGGUAAGUUCCGACCUGCACGAAUGGCGUAACGACUUCCCCGCUGUCUCCAAUGUAGACUCAGCGAAAUUGAAUUGCCUGUCAAGAUGCAGGCUUCCCGCGGUUAGACGGAAAGACCCCGUGCACCUUUACUACAGCUUCGCACUGGCAUCAGAAUUGUGAUGUGCAGGAUAGGUGGUGGGCUUUGAAACCGGAACGCCAGUUUCGGUGGAGCCUCCCUUGAGAUACCACCCUUCGCACUUUUGAUGUCUAACCGCGGUCCGUUAUCCGGAUCCGGGACCCUGCGUGGCGGGUAGUUUGACUGGGGCGGUCGCCUCCUAAAGAGUAACGGAGGCGCGCGAAGGUUGGCUCAGAGCGGUCGGAAAUCGCUCGUUGAGUGCAAUGGCAGAAGCCAGCCUGACUGCGAGACUGACAAGUCGAGCAGAGUCGAAAGACGGCCAUAGUGAUCCGGUGGUCCCGAGUGGAAGGGCCAUCGCUCAACGGAUAAAAGGUACGCCGGGGAUAACAGGCUGAUACUGCCCAAGAGUCCAUAUCGACGGCAGUGUUUGGCACCUCGAUGUCGGCUCAUCUCAUCCUGGGGCUGGAGCAGGUCCCAAGGGUACGGCUGUUCGCCGUUUAAAGAGGUACGUGAGCUGGGUUUAGAACGUCGUGAGACAGUUCGGUCCCUAUCUGCCGUGGGUGUAGGAUACUUGAGAGGAGUUGCCCCUAGUACGAGAGGACCGGGGUGAACGAUCCACUGGUGGACCUGUUGUUGCGCCAGCAGCAGUGCAGGGUAGCUAUGAUCGGACAGGAUAACCGCUGAAGGCAUCUAAGCGGGAAGCCCCCCUCAAAACAAGGUAUCCCUGAGAGCCGUGGAAGACCACCACGUCGAUAGGCCGGAGAUGUAAGCGCAGUAAUGCGUUCAGUUGACCGGUACUAAUGGCUCGAUAGGCUUGAUUUG